rnacentral:rRNA from 1 species
AUGGGAUGCAACCAACUCGUUAUUAAUUAUGACAAUCUUGAGGUCAUUGACACUAUGAAGACGGGUGGUCAUUCUUUGGGGGCGGCGGCUGUUUUCGACGACUGUUAUCAUUCCAUUUGCGAUUUUACUAUUUGUAGGUUUGAACAUUGUAAUAGGGAAGCAAAUAAAGUUGCUCAUGAGCUCGCUAGGUUGGCUAGAUUUUCUUUGACGUAUGAUUGGCUUGAGGAGCCUCCAAUUGAACUUGUACCCUUUCUCAUAAAUGAUAUAACUGUUAUUUCAAAUGAAUAA